CAUAACGAAAGCUUGCUUUGUUGAUGGCGACCGGCGCACGGGUGAGUAACGCGUAUCCAACCUUCCCUAUACUAGAGAAUAGCCCGGCGAAAGUCGGAUUAAUGCUCUAUGUUCUUCUUUGAUGGCAUCUGACGAGAAGCAAAGGUUUACCGGUAUAGGAUGGGGGAUGCGUCUGAUUAGGUUGUUGGCGGGGUAACGGCCCACCAAGCCUACGAUCAGUAGGGGUUCUGAGAGGAAGGUCCCCCACAUUGGUACUGAGACACGGACCAAACUCCUACGGGAGGCAGCAGUGAGGAAUAUUGGUCAAUGGGCGAGAGCCUGAACCAGCCAAGUAGCGUGCAGGAUGACUGCCCUAUGGGUUGUAAACUGCUUUUAUGCGGGAAUAAAGUCAGGUACGUGUACCUGUUUGUAUGUACCGCAUGAAUAAGGACCGGCUAAUUCCGUGCCAGCCGCCGC
rnacentral:rRNA from 1 species